AGAACGAACGCUGGCGACAGGCCUCAAACAUGCAAGUCUAGGGGGUGUAGCAAUACAUCACCGGCGGACGGGUGCGUAACGCGUGGGAAUGUACCUAUUGGUUCGGAACAACACAGGGAAACUUGUGCUAAUACCGAAUGUGCCCGUAAGGGGAAAGAUUUAUCGCCAAUAGAUCAGCCCGCGUUCGAUUAGCUAGUUGGCGAGGUAAUGGCUCACCAAGGCGACGAUCGAUAGCUGUUCUGAGAGGAAGAUCAGCCACACUGGGACUGAGACACGGCCCAGACUCCUACGGGAGGCAGCAGUUGGGAAUCUUGGACAAUGGGGGAAACCCUGAUCCAGCCAUGCCGCGUGAGUGAUGAAGGCCUUCGGGUUGUAAAACUCUUUCGCGCACGACGAUAAUGACGGUAGUGCGAGAGAAGCUCCGGCUAACUCGUGCCAGCAGCCGC
rnacentral:rRNA from 1 species